GGGCUCGCAGGCGGUUUCUUAAGUCUGAUGUGAAAGCCCCCGGCUCAACCGGGGAGGGUCAUUGGAAACUGGGAAACUUGAGUGCACAAGAGGAGAGUGGAAUUCCACGUGUAGCGGUGAAAUGCGUAGAGAUGUGGAGGAACACCAGUGGCGAAGGCGACUCUCUGGUCUGUAACUGACGCUGAGGAGCGAAAGCGUGGGGAGCGAACAGGAUUAGAUACCCUGGUAGUCCACGCCGUAAACGAUGAGUGCUAAGUGUUAGGGGGUUUCCGCCCCUUAGUGCUGCAGCUAACGCAUUAAGCACUCCGCCUGGGGAGUACGGUCGCAAGACUGAAACUCAAAGGAAUUGACGGGGGCCCGCACAAGCGGUGGAGCAUGUGGUUUAAUUCGAAGCAACGCGAAGAACCUUACCAGGUCUUGACAUCCUCUGACAACCCUAGAGAUAGGGCUUUCCCUUCGGGGACAGAGUGACAGGUGGUGCAUGGUUGUCGUCAGCUCGUGUCGUGAGAUGUUGGGUUAAGUCCC
rnacentral:rRNA from 1 species